AUUGAACGCUGGCGGCAGGCCUAACACAUGCAAGUCGAGCGGAUGAAGGGAGCUUGCUCCUGGAUUCAGCGGCGGACGGGGGAGUAAUGCCUAGGAAUCUGCCUGGUAGUGGGGGAUAACGUCCGGAAACGGGCGCUAAUACCGCAUACGUCCUGAGGGAGAAAGUGGGGGAUCUUCGGACCUCACGCUAUCAGAUGAGCCUAGGCCGGAUUAGCUAGUUGGUGGGGUAAAGGCCUACCAAGGCGACGAUCCGUAACUGGUCUGAGAGGAUGAUCAGUCACACUGGAACUGAGACACGGUCCAGACUCCUGCGGGAGGCCGCAGUGGGGAAUAUUGGACAAUGGGCGAAAGCCUGAUCCAGCCAUGCCGCGUGUGUGGAGAAGGUCUUCGGAUUGUAAAGCCCUUUAAGUUGGGAGGAAGGGCAGUAAGUUAAUACCUUGCUGUUUUGACGUUACCAACAGAAUAAGCACCGGCUAACUUCGUG
rnacentral:rRNA from 1 species